AGAGAGAGGUAAUAUAGUAAUAGUGUUGCAGAGAGAGGUAGGUAAUAUAGUAAUAGUGUUGCAGAGAGAGAGAGGUAAUAUAGUAAUAGUGUUGCAGAGAGAGAGAGGUAAUAUAGUAAUAGUGUUGCAGAGAGAGAGAGGUAAUAUAGUAAUAGUGUUGCAGAGAGAGAGAGAGGUAAUAUAGUAAUAGUGUUGCAGAGAGAGAGAGGUAAUAUAGUAAUAGUGUUGCAGAGAGAGAGAGGUAAUAUAGUAAUAGUGUUGCAGAGAGAGAGGUAAUAUAGUAAUAGUGUUGCAGAGAGAGAGAGGUAAUAUAGUAAUAGUGUUGCAGAGAGAGAGAGGUAAUAUAGUAAUAGUGUUGCAGAGAGAGAGAGAGGUAAUAUAGUAAUAGUGUUGCAGAGAGAGAGAGAGGUAAUAUAGUAAUAGUGUUGCAGAGAGAGAGAGGUAAUAUAGUAAUAGUGUUGCAGAGAGAGAGAGAGGUAAUAUAUAGUAAUAGUGUUGCAGAGAGAGAGAGAGGUAAUAUAUAGUAAUAGUGUUGCAGAGAGAGAGAGAGGUAAUAUAGUAAUAGUGUUGCAGAGAGAGAGAGAGGUAAUAUAGUAAUAGUGUUGCAGAGAGAGAGAGGUAAUAUAGUAAUAGUGUUGCAGAGAGAGAGAGGUAAUAUAGUAAUAGUGUUGCAGAGAGAGAGAGGUAAUAUAGUAAUAGUGUUGCAGAGAGAGAGAGAGGUAAUAUAGUAAUAGUGUUGCAGAGAGAGAGAGGUAAUAUAGUAAUAGUGUUGCAGAGAGAGAGAGAGGUAAUAUAGUAAUAGUGUUGCAGAGAGAGAGAGGUAAUAUAGUAAUAGUGUUGCAGAGAGAGAGAGAGGUAAUAUAGUAAUAGUGUUGCAGAGAGAGAGAGGUAAUAUAGUAAUAGUGUUGCAGAGAGAGAGAGAGGUAAUAUAGUAAUAGUGUUGCAGAGAGAGAGAGAGGUAAUAUAGUAAUAGUGUUGCAGAGAGAGAGAGAGGUAAUAUAGUAAUAGUGUUGCAGAGAGAGAGAGAGAGGUAAUAUAGUAAUAGUGUUGCAGAGAGAGAGAGAGAGAGAGGUAAUAUAGUAAUAGUGUUGCAGAGAGAGAGAGGUAAUAUAGUAAUAGUGUUGCAGAGAGAGAGAGAGGUAAUAUAGUAAUAGUGUUGCAGAGAGAGAGAGACAGGUAAUAUAGUAAUAGUGUUGCAGAGAGAGAGAGGUAAUAUAGUAAUAGUGUUGCAGAGAGAGAGAGAGGUAAUAUAGUAAUAGUGUUGCAGAGAGAGAGAGGUAAUAUAGUAAUAGUGUUGCAGAGAGAGAGAGGUAAUAUAGUAAUAGUGUUGCAGAGAGAGAGGUAAUAUAGUAAUAGUGUUGCAGAGAGAGAGAGGUAAUAUAGUAAUAGUGUUGCAGAGAGAGAGAGGUAAUAUAGUAAUAGUAUUGCAGAGAGAGAGAGGUAAUAUAGUAAUAGUGUUGCAGAGAGAGAGAGAGGUAAUAUAGUAAUAGUGUUGCAGAGAGAGAGAGGUAAUAUAGUAAUAGUGUUGCAGAGAGAGAGAGGUAAUAUAGUAAUAGUGUUGCAGAGAGAGAGAGGUAAUAUAGUAAUAGUGUUGCAGAGAGAGAGGUAAUAUAGUAAUAGUGUUGCAGAGAGAGAGAGAGGUAAUAUAGUAAUAGUGUUGCAGAGAGAGAGAGAGGUAAUAUAGUAAUAGUAUUGCAGAGAGAGAGAGGUAAUAUAGUAAUAGUGUUGCAGAGAGAGAGAGAGGUAAUAUAGUAAUAGUGUUGCAGAGAGAGAGAGAGGUAAUAUAGUAAUAGUGUUGCAGAGAGAGAGAGGUAAUAUAUAGUAAUAGUGUUGCAGAGAGAGAGAGAGGUAAUAUAUAGUAAUAGUGUUGCAGAGAGAGAGAGGGGUAAUAUAUAGUAAUAGUGUUGCAGAGAGAGAGAGAGGUAAUAUAGUAAUAGUGUUGCAGAGAGAGAGAGAGAGGUAAUAUAGUAAUAGUGUUGCAGAGAGAGAGAGAGGUAAUAUAGUAAUAGUGUUGCAGAGAGAGAGAGGUAAUAUAGUAAUAGUGUUGCAGAGAGAGAGAGAGGUAAUAUAGUAAUAGUGUCGCAGAGAGAGAGAGAGAGAGAGGUAAUAUAGUAAUAGUGUCGCAGAGAGAGAGAGAGAGAGAGAGAGAGGUAAUAUAGUAAUAGUGUUGCAGAGAGAGACAGGUAAUAUAGUAAUAGUGCUGCAGAGAGAGAGAGGUAAUAUAGUAAUAGUGUUGCAGAGAGAGAGAGAGGUAAUAUAGUAAUAGUGUUGCAGAGAGAGAGAGGUAAUAUAGUAAUAGUGUUGCAGAGAGAGAGGUAAUAUAGUAAUAGUGUUGCAGAGAGAGAGAGAGGUAAUAUAGUAAUAGUGUUGCAGAGAGAGAGAGAGGUAAUAUAGUAAUAGUCUUGCAGAGAGAGAGAGAGGUAAUAUAGUAAUAGUGUUGCAGAGAGAGAGAGGUAAUAAAGUAAUAGUGUUGCAGAGAGAGAGAGGUAAUACAGUAAUAGUGUUGCAGAGAGAGAGAGAGGUAAUAUAGUAAUAGUGUUGCAGAGAGAGAGAGGUAAUAUAUAGUAAUAGUGUUGCAGAGAGAGAGAGAGGUAAUAUAGUAAUAGUGUUGCAGAGAGAGAGGUAAUAUAGUAAUAGUGUUGCAGAGAGAGAGAGAGAGAGGUAAUAUAGUAAUAGUGUUGCAGAGAGAGAGAGGUAAUAUAGUAAUAGUGUUGCAGAGAGAGAGAGGUAAUAUAGUAAUAGUGUUGCAGAGAGAGAGAGGUAAUAUAGUAAUAGUGUUGCAGAGAGAGAGGUAAUAUAGUAAUAGUAUUGCAGAGAGAGAGAGGUACUAUAGUAAUAGUGUUGCAGAGAGAGAGAGAGGUAAUAUAGUAAUAGUGUUGCAGAGAGAGAGAGAGGUAAUAUAGUAAUAGUGUCGCAGAGAGAGAGAGAGAGGUAAUAUAGUAAUAGUGUUGCAGAGAGAGAGGUAAUAUAGUAAUAGUGUUGCAGAGAGAGAGAGAGAGAGAGAGGUAAUAUAGUAAUAGUAUUGCAGAGAGAGAGAGGUAAUAUAGUAAUAGUGUUGCAGAGAGAGAGAGAGGUAAUAUAGUAAUAGUGUUGCAGAGAGAGAGAGAGGUAAUAUAGUAAUAGUGUUGCAGAGAGAGAGAGGUAAUAUAGUAAUAGUGUUGCAGAGAGAGAGAGGUAAUAUAGUAAUAGUGUUGCAGAGAGAGAGGUAAUAUAGUAAUAGUGUUGCAGAGAGAGAGAGGUAAUAUAGUAAUAGUGUUGCAGAGAGAGAGAGGUAAUAUAGUAAUAGUGUUGCAGAGAGAGAGAGGUAAUAUAGUAAUAGUGUUGCAGAGAGAGAGAGGUAAUAUAGUAAUAGUGUUGCAGAGAGAGAGGUAAUAUAGUAAUAGUGUUGCAGAGAGAGAGAGAGAGGUAAUAUAGUAAUAGUGUUGCAGAGAGAGAGGUAAUAUAGUAAUAGUGUUGCAGAGAGAGAGAGAGGUAAUAUAGUAAUAGUGUUGCAGAGAGAGAGAGAGGUAAUAUAGUAAUAGUGUUGCAGAGAGAGAGAGAGGUAAUAUAGUAAUAGUGUUGCAGAGAGAGAGAGAGAGGUAAUAUAGUAAUAGUGUUGCAGAGAGAGAGGUAAUAUAGUAAUAGUGUUGCAGAGAGAGAGAGAGGUAAUAUAGUAAUAGUGUUGCAGAGAGAGAGGUAAUAUAGUAAUAGUGUUGCAGAGAGAGAGAGAGGUAAUAUAGUAAUAGUGUUGCAGAGAGAGAGAGAGGUAAUAUAGUAAUAGUGUUGCAGAGAGAGAGAGAGGUAAUAUAGUAAUAGUGUUGCAGAGAGAGAGAGGUAAUAUAGUAAUAGUGUUGCAGAGAGAGAGAGAGGUAAUAUAGUAAUAGUGUUGCAGAGAGAGAGAGGUAAUAUAGUAAUAGUGUUGCAGAGAGAGAGAGAGAGAGGUAAUAUAGUAAUAGUGUUGCAGAGAGAGAGAGAGAGAGAGAGAGAGAGAGGUAAUAUAGUAAUAGUGUUGCAGAGAGAGAGAGGUAAUAUAGUAAUAGUGUUGCAGAGAGAGAGAGAGAGGUAAUAUAGUAAUAGUGUUGCAGAGAGAGAGAGAGGUAAUAUAGUAAUAGUGUUGCAGAGAGAGAGAGAGGUAAUAUAGUAAUAGUGUUGCAGAGAGAGAGGUAAUAUAGUAAUAGUGUUGCAGAGAGAGAGAGAGAGAGGUAAUAUAGUAAUAGUGUUGCAGAGAGAGAGAGAGAGAGAGGUAAUAUAGUAAUAGUGUUGCAGAGAGAGAGAGAGGUAAUAUAGUAAUAGUGUUGCAGAGAGAGAGAGAGGUAAUAUAGUAAUAGUGUUGCAGAGAGAGAGAGAGAGGUAAUAUAGUAAUAGUGUUGCAGAGAGAGAGAGAGGUAAUAUAGUAAUAGUGUUGCAGAGAGAGAGAGAGAGAGAGAGAGAGAGGUAAUAUAGUAAUAGUGUUGCAGAGAGAGAGAGGUAAUAUAGUAAUAGUGUUGCAGAGAGAGAGAGGUAAUAUAGUAAUAGUGUUGCAGAGAGAGAGAGGUAAUAUAGUAAUAGUGUUGCAGAGAGAGAGAUAAUAUAUAGUAAUAGUGUUGCAGAGAGAGAGAGAGGGGUAAUAUAUAGUAAUAGUGUUGCAGAGAGAGAGAGAGGUAAUAUAGUAAUAGUGUUGCAGAGAGAGAGAGAGAGGUAAUGUAGUAAUAGUGUCGCAGAGAGAGAGGUAAUAUAGUAAUAGUGUUGCAGAGAGAGAGAGAGAGAGGUAAUAUAGUAAUAGUGUUGCAGAGAGAGAGAGAGAGAGGUAAUAUAGUAAUAGUGUUGCAGAGAGAGAGGUAAUAUAGUAAUAGUGUCGCAGAGAGAGAGAGAGAGGUAAUAUAGUAAUAGUGUUGCAGAGAGAGACAGGUAAUAUAGUAAUAGUGCUGCAGAGAGAGAGAGGUAAUAUAGUAAUAGUGUUGCAGAGAGAGAGAGAGAGAGGUAAUAUAGUAAUAGUGUUGCAGAGAGAGAGGUAAUGUAGUAAUAGUGUCGCAGAGAGAGAGAGAGAGGUAAUAUAGUAAUAGUGUUGCAGAGAGAGAGAGAGGUAAUAUAGUAAUAGUGUUGCAGAGAGAGAGAGAGAGGUAAUAUAGUAAUAGUGCUGCAGAGAGAGAGAGGUAAUAUAGUAAUAGUGUUGCAGAGAGAGAGAGGUAAUAUAGUAAUAGUGUUGCAGAGAGAGAGGUAAUAUAGUAAUAGUGUUGCAGAGAGAGAGAGAGGUAAUAUAGUAAUAGUGUUGCAGAGAGAGAGAGGUAAUAUAGUAAUAGUGUUGCAGAGAGAGAGGUAAUAUAGUAAUAGUAUUGCAGAGAGAGAGAGGUAAUAUAGUAAUAGUGUUGCAGAGAGAGAGAGAGGUAAUAUAGUAAUAGUGUUGCAGAGAGAGAGAGAGGUAAUAUAGUAAUAGUGUUGCAGAGAGAGAGAGGUAAUAUAGUAAUAGUGUUGCAGAGAGAGAGAGAGGUAAUAUAGUAAUAGUGUUGCAGAGAGAGAGAGGUAAUAUAGUAAUAGUGUUGCAGAGAGAGAGAGAGAGAGGUAAUAUAGUAAUAGUGUUGCAGAGAGAGAGAGAGAGGUAAUGUAGUAAUAGUGUCGCAGAGAGAGAGGUAAUAUAGUAAUAGUGUUGCAGAGAGAGAGAGAGAGAGGUAAUAUAGUAAUAGUGUUGCAGAGAGAGAGAGAGGUAAUAUAGUAAUAGUGUUGCAGAGAGAGAGGUAAUAUAGUAAUAGUGUUGCAGAGAGAGAGAGAGAGGUAAUAUAGUAAUAGUGUUGCAGAGAGAGAGAGAGAGAGGUAAUAUAGUAAUAGUGUUGCAGAGAGAGAGAGAGGUAAUAUAGUAAUAGUGUUGCAGAGAGAGAGAUAGGUAAUAUAGUAAUAGUGUUGCAGAGAGAGAGAGGUAAUAUAGUAAUAGUGUUGCAGAGAGAGAGAGGUAAUAUAGUAAUAGUGUUGCAGAGAGAGAGAGGUAAUAUAGUAAUAGUGUUGCAGAGAGAGAGAGGUAAUAUAGUAAUAGUGUUGCAGAGAGAGAGACAGGUAAUAUAGUAAUAGUGUUGCAGAGAGAGAGAGAGGUAAUAUAGUAAUAGUCUUGCAGAGAGAGAGAGAGGUAAUAUAGUAAUAGUGUUGCAGAGAGAGAGGUAAUAUAGUAAUAGUGUUGCAGAGAGAGAGAGAGAGGUAAUAUAGUAAUAGUGUUGCAGAGAGAGAGAGACAGGUAAUAUAGUAAUAGUGUUGCAGAGAGAGAGAGAGGUAAUGUCGUAAUAGUGUUGCAGAGAGAGAGAUAGGUAAUAUAGUAAUAGUGUUGCAGAGAGAGAGAGGUAAUAUAGUAAUAGUGUUGCAGAGAGAGAGGUAAUAUAGUAAUAGUGUUGCAGAGAGAGAGACAGGUAAUAUAGUAAUAGUGUUGCAGAGAGAGAGAGAGGUAAUAUCGUAAUAGUGUUGCAGAGAGAGAGAGAGGUAAUAUAGUAAUAGUCUUGCAGAGAGAGAGAGAGGUAAUAUAGUAAUAGUGUUGCAGAGAGAGAGGUAAUAUAGUAAUAGUGUUGCAGAGAGAGAGAGAGGUAAUAUAGUAAUAGUCUUGCAGAGAGAGAGAGAGGUAAUAUAGUAAUAGUGUUGCAGAGAGAGAGGUAAUAUAGUAAUAGUAUUGCAGAGAGAGAGAGGUACUAUAGUAAUAGUGUUGCAGAGAGAGAGAGAGGUAAUAUAGUAAUAGUGUCGCAGAGAGAGAGAGAGGUAAUAUAGUAAUAGUGUUGCAGAGAGAGAGGUAAUAUAGUAAUAGUGUUGCAGAGAGAGAGAGAGAGAGAGGUAAUAUAGUAAUAGUGUUGCAGAGAGAGAGAGAGGUAAUGUAGUAAUAGUGUCGCAGAGAGAGAGAGAGGUAAUAUAGUAAUAGUGUCGCAGAGAGAGAGAGAGAGAGAGGUAAUAUAGUAAUAGUGUUGCAGAGAGAGAGGUAAUAUAGUAAUAGUGUUGCAGAGAGAGAGAGAGAGAGAGAGGUAAUAUAGUAAUAGUGUUGCAGAGAGAGAGAGAGAGAGAGGUAAUAUAGUAAUAGUGUUGCAGAGAGAGAGAGAGGUAAUAUAGUAAUAGUGUUGCAGAGAGAGAGAGAGGUAAUAUCGUAAUAGUGUUGCAGAGAGAGAGAGAGGUAAUAUAGUAAUAGUGUUGCAGAGAGAGAGAGGUAAUAUAGUAAUAGUGUUGCAGAGAGAGAGAGAGGUAAUAUAGUAAUAGUGUUGCAGAGAGAGAGAGGUAAUAUAGUAAUAGUGUUGCAGAGAGAGAGAGAGGUAAUAUAGUAAUAGUGUUGCAGAGAGAGAGAGAGGUAAUAUAUAGUAAUAGUGUUGCAGAGAGAGAGAGAGGUAAUAUAGUAAUAGUAUUGCAGAGAGAGAGAGGUAAUAUAUAGUAAUAGUGUUGCAGAGAGAGAGAGAGGUAAUAUAGUAAUAGUGUUGCAGAGAGAGAGAGGUAAUAUAUAGUAAUAGUGUUGCAGAGAGAGAGAGGUAAUAUAUAGUAAUAGUGUUGCAGAGAGAGAGAGGUAAUAUAGUAAUAGUGUUGCAGAGAGAGAGAGAGAGAGAGGUAAUAUAGUAAUAGUGUUGCAGAGAGAGAGAGAGAGGUAAUAUAUAGUAAUAGUGUUGCAGAGAGAGAGAGAGGUAAUAUAGUAAUAGUGUUGCAGAGAGAGAGAGAGAGAGAGGUAAUAUAGUAAUAGUGUUGCAGAGAGUGAGAGAG